GAUGAACGCUGGCGGCGUGCCUAAUACAUGCAAGUCGAGCGAACAGACGAGGAGCUUGCUCCUCUGACGUUAGCGGCGGACGGGUGAGUAACACGUGGAUAACCUACCUAUAAGACUGGGAUAACUUCGUGAAACCGGAGCUAAUACCGUAUAAUAUAUUGAACCGCAUGGUUCAAUAGUGAAAGACGGUUUUGCUGUCACUUAUAGAUGGAUCCGCGCCGCAUUAGCUAGUUGGUAAGGUAACGGCUUAACAAGGCAACGAUGCGUAGCCGACCUGAGAGGGUGAUCGGCCAGACUGGAACUGAGACACGGUCCAGACUCCUACGGGAGGCAGCAGUAGGGACUCUUCCGCAAUGGGCGAAAGCUUGACGGAGCAACGUCGCGUGAAUGAUGAAGGUCUUCGGCUCGUAAAACUCUGUUGUUAGGGAAGAACAAAUGUGUAAGUAACUAUGCACGUCUUGACGGUACCUAAUCAGAAAGCCACGGCUAACUACGUG
rnacentral:rRNA from 1 species